rnacentral:tRNA from 1 species
CAAAGAGUAGCUUAAACAGAGCACUCAACUUACAAUUGAGAGAUGUUAGUUACCAUAACCUCUUUGC